GUAAACUACUGGAGGCAGGGUUCUUUUCCUAAGGGAGGGCAGGGUUCUUUUCCUAAGGGAGGGCAGGGUUCUUUUACUAAGGGAGGGCAGGGUUCUUUUACUAAGGGAGGCAGGGUUCUUUUACUAAGGGAGGCAGGGUUCUUUUACUAAGGGAGGCAGGGUUCUUUUACUAAGGGAGGGCAGGGUUCUUUUACUAAGGGAGGCAGGGUUCUUUUACUAAGGGAGGCAGGGUUCUUUUACUAAGGGAGGCAGGGUUCUUUUACUAAGGGAGGGCAGGGUUCUUUUACUAAGGGAGGCAGGGUUCUUUUACUAAGGGAGGCAGGGUUCUUUUACUAAGGGAGGGCAGGGUUCUUUUACUAAGGGAGGCAGGGUUCUUUUACAAAGGGAGGGCAGGGUUCUUUUACUAAGGGAGGCAGGGUUCUUUUACUAAGGGAGGCAGGGUUCUUUUACUAAGGGAGGCAGGGUUCUUUUACUAAGGGAGGGCAGGGUUCUUUUACUAAGGGAGGCAGGGUUCUUUUACUAAGGGAGGCAGGGUUCUUUUACUAAGGGAGGGCAGGGUUCUUUUACUAAGGGAAGGCAGGGUUCUUUUACUAAGGGAGGCAGGGUUCUUUUCCUAAGGGAGGCAGGGUUCUUUUCCUAAGGGAGGCAGGGUUCUUUUCCUAAGGGAGGCAGGGUUCUUUUCCUAAGGGAGGGCAGGGUUCUUUUCCUAAGGGAGGGCAGGGUUCUUUUACAAAGGGAGGGCAGGGUUCUUUUACAAAGGGAGGGCAGGGUUCUUUUACUAAGGGAAGGCAGGGUUCUUUUACUAAGGGAGGGCAGGGUUCUUUUACAAAGGGAGGCAGGGUUCUUUUACAAAGGGAGGCAGGGUUCUUUUACUAAGGGAGGGCAGGGUUCUUUUACAAAGGGAGGCAGGGUUCUUUUACUAAGGGAGGCAGGGGUCUUUUACUAAGGGAGGCAGGGUUCUUUUACUAAGGGAGGGCAGGGUUCUUUUACUAAGGGAGGCAGGGUUCUUUUACUAAGGGAGGGCAGGGUUCUUUUACUAAGGGAGGCAGGGUUCUUUUACAAAGGGAGGGCAGGGUUCUUUUACUAAGGGAGGCAGGGUUCUUUUACUAAGGGAGGCAGGGUUCUUUUACUAAGGAAGGCAGGGUUCUUUUACAA